GUUCUCACUUUGGCAGCAUAUAUACUAGAAUUGGAACAAUAUAGAGAAGAUUAGCAUGGCACUUGUGCAAGAAUGACACCCAAAUUCAUGAAGUGUUCCAUAUUUUU